UGGUGGAGCGAUUUGUCUGGUCAAUUCCGAUAACGAACGAGACUCUAGCCUACUAAAUAGUUCGGGGACCCCCACAAAGGGGCCCCGCUUCAACUUCUUAGAGGGACAGUGGCGUUUAGCCACACGAGAUUGAGCAAUAACA
rnacentral:rRNA from 1 species